GUGGUGGUGGAGGUGGAGAAGAGGAGAUGUGUUAUCUGUGGUGGUGGUGGAGGUGGUGGUAGUGGUGGAGGUGGAGAAGAGGAGAUGUGUUAUCUGUGGUGGUGGUGGAGGUGGUGGUAGUGGUGGUGGUGGGGGUGGAGAAGAGGAGAUGUGUUAUCUGUGGUGGUGGUAGUGGUGGUGGUGGUGGAGGUGGAGAAGAGGAGAUGUGUUAUCUGUGGUGGUGGAGGUGGUGGUAGUGGUGCUGGUGGAGAAGAGGAGAUGUGUUAUCUGAGGUGGUGGUAGUGGUGGUGGUGGAGAAGAGGAGAUGUGUUAUCUACGGUGGUGGUGGUGGAGGUGGUGG
ensembl:lncRNA